CGACGGCAACAAAGUGGUGACCCCGACGUGAUAGGGUGAGGGUGGUCGCCGGGGCGACGGGGGUGGCGCUAGACAGACGAUGGAAGCAGUGAUUAAGGUUCCGUAAGGAGGAAAUACGUUCUUGUGACCGGCUGAUAUCAUGAGAGCAGCAUCGCGGGAAAGAGAAUGAUGCCGAGUUCACAAGGAUUGGGAGUUGCUAUGCACGCUUAGCUUUGCUUUAGGGCUUUCACACUGGCUUGAGAAUUACAAGGCUGCAGCCCGCUUACAGCACUGGCAUCCCUGGCUUUGCCGCAUGUGUACGCAGCUUGCGGCGUACAAUUAAUGAGUUACGGCGUCCUCACUCUGGGUAUCAACGUCUCCUGAUGAUUCAAGAAACAACAACUGUAUUGUAGCAUGGAGAGGGGGACUUGUGGUAGGCGACACGGGGCGCUGCGGAAGAUCACGGGAUGUGACGUCCUGACGAGGCAGGGUUAAGACAGGAAAAGACAGUGCGAGCGCGUAUAUAAAGAAUUAUAACGACGCAAUAAACGCCAUUUGCCGCAUCCUC